ensembl:snRNA U6 U6 spliceosomal RNA
GUGCUCGCUUUGGCAGCAUAUAUACUAAAAUUGGAACGAUACAGAGAAGAUUAGCAUGGCCCCUGCACAAGGAUGACAUAAAAUUAGUGAAGUGUUCCAUAAUUUU